GCCCUACGGGAGGCAGCAGUGGGGAAUAUUGGGCAAUGGGCGCAAGCCUGACCCAGCAACGCCGCGUGAGGGAAGAAGGCCUUCGGGUUGUAAACCUCUGUCCUUGGGGACGAAAAAAAUGACGGUACCCAAGGAGGAAGCUCCGGCUAACUACGUGCCAGCAGCCGCGGUAAUACGUAGGGAGCGAGCGUUGUCCGGAAUUACUGGGCGGAAAGGGUGCGUAGGUGGCCAAGCAAGUCAGAUGGGAAAUCCCCGGGCUUAACUCGGGUGCUGCAUUUGAAACUGCAUGGCUUGAGUGCAGGAGAGGAAAGCGGAAUUCCUAGUGUAGCGGUGAAAUGCGUAGAUAUUAGGAGGAACACCAGUGGCGAAGGCGGCUUUCUGGACUGUAACUGACACUGAGGCACGAAAGCGUGGGGAGCAAACAGGAUUAGAUACCCGUGUAGUC
rnacentral:rRNA from 1 species